GAGCCAGCAGAGGGGCUGGCUGUGACCGAGCUCUGCCUUUGUCCCUGCCCUGUGCCCAGGCCAAGCCGUGGAGCCCAGGAGACCCGGGUCACCUGACUCCCCUCCCUUCGGCUCCUCAUCCAGGCCAUCGCCUUCGUCGGGCCCGCUGGCACCGAGCAAUGCCCCGUCUCGGUCCCAUCGGCUCCUGAAAAGCGACUUGGCCACUCGACUGCAGAUGGGACGAAGAAAAGAAAGAGGCUGAUCCCGUGGCCGUUUGCUGGGAGACCAACCUCGGCCAACGGGGAUUGCCCAGGGCAGCCGGAUGCUGGCCUCAAGCGGCCUCUCUUUGGCCAGCCU
rnacentral:lncRNA from 1 species